UACGUAGGGUCCGAGCGUUGUCCGGAAUUACUGGGCGUAAAGAGCUCGUAGGUGGUUUGUCGCGUUGUUCGUGAAAACUCACAGCUCAACUGUGGGCGUGCGGGCGAUACGGGCAGACUAGAGUACUGCAGGGGAGACCGGAAUUCCUGGUGUAGCGGUGGAAUGCGCAGAUAUCAGGAGGAACACCGGUGGCGAAGGCGGGUCUCUGGGCAUUGACCUGACGCUGGAGGAGCGAAAGUGUGGGGAGCGAACAGG
rnacentral:rRNA from 1 species